AGAUUGAACGCUGGCGGCAGGCCUAACACAUGCAAGUCGAGCGGCAGCACGGGUACUUGUACCUGGUGGCGAGCGGCGGACGGGUGAGUAAUGCCUAGGAAUCUGCCUGAUAGGUGGGGGAUAACGCUCGGAAACGGACGCUAAUACCGCAUACCGUCCUACGGGAGAAAG
rnacentral:rRNA from 1 species